CACGUAGGGGGCAAGCGUUGUCCGGAUUUAUUGGGCGUAAAGAGCUCGUAGGCGGUUCGCUAAGUCGGGUGUGAAACCUCCAGGCUCAACCUGGAGACGCCACCUGAUACUGGUGUGACUCGAGUCCGGUAGGGGAGCGUGGAAUUCCUGGUGUAGCGGUGAAAUGCGCAGAUAUCAGGAGGAACACCGGUGGCGAAGGCGGUUCUCUGGGCAUGAUCUGACGCUGAGGAGCGAAAGCCAGGGGAGCAAACGGG
rnacentral:rRNA from 1 species